rnacentral:rRNA from 1 species
AUGAGAGGCCUUGUCGACAAACUUGCUGCAGCGGGAAAGAGGAUCAACGACGAUGAUCUCAUCUCAGCACUCUUUGAUGGACUGAACACGGACAACAAUCCACCAGUCUCAUCCAUGUCCAGGAAAAUAGAGCUAAUCGCCCUCACCAACCUGUACUCGUAG